rnacentral:lncRNA from 1 species
GAAACCUGUUGACCACAGUGUUCCUCUCCUUAUCUCUUACAAACACCUUUAAACACUGCAAUCUAAUCUAAUCUAAUCUGAAAACCAAACAUGUUGGUUCUUUCUUCCUUUCAACCUGAUGCAGGAAGCAGAGGGUUUGGUCAGCAGGAAACACUGCGGGCUGAAAGGCGUGUUCACUUGGUUUGUAAAUAUGUGUCUUGAGCGAUCUCUCUCUUGAGUUUUUGGGAGUCUGGCCUUGCAAGCACAAAGGAUAAGCAAGAAAGCAAAGAUAUGCCUGGACCAGAAAAAGCCGCAUAGAAUGGGCAGCAAAGCUUUUGACUCUGUCCAGGGAAAAGGACAUAGAAGAGUUUCACUGCUGGGUAGCCAAGGCAAAGGUAACAUCAACUUGGCCAGAUAGAAAUAACAGCACUAUGCAUCUCACAGGAAUGUGGAGAGAGUUCGAAGAUGCUAUGGAUGCCAUGCUCUGCACGUCCAGCGAUGCCAGGAUUAUUCUGGAGAAAACAUCUAUCCACUGGCCAUUCAGAUUUGCUUCCCAGCUGGUUCAGCCUAUGGCAAAUGAAGAGCUUGAAGAGUAAGAGUGACCUAGAACUACCUUUCAGCCUAGAACCCACUUCAAACAUGCAAAAUGUAUCCCUUGCUGGCAGGAGAACAGAAUGUGGCCCUAGCAGAGGUUACCCACUGCCACCCACUGGCACUACCUGUGUUUAGUGCACAACCUGGAGAUGCACAAGGUGUGCUUGGUGCCACUUACUAUAGCGGUUAUCCUUACCAGUCUGUGGCUCUGUCUCCACAUAUGGUGAUAACAAAGGCAUCACAAUGAGCAU